rnacentral:sRNA from 1 species
AGGGCGGGAGGGCGCGGGAGGCGGGCGUCGUCGUCUCCCUCUUGCUGCUCGGGAGGAGUCGGGGGCGGGAGGGGUCUGCGGUCCGCGGCAGGACCGGGUCGCGACGCCCGGCGGGUGGGUGCUCGGGGUGGCGGGCGCGAGCCGGGGCCUCCGCGCUGAACGGUCGGACGCUAGGGGGCCUGCGAGCUUCUAACCUCCCGAUCUGGAGAAAAUGACCGGCUGUCCUGGGCCCGCGGAGCCGGGGAGCGGCUGGAGGUGGCGAAGUUGAGGGAUUCGCAGAAGUCUUUUCCCCGCACGGCUUCACCCUACAGUAAUCACCCUACAGACCGGGUUGACCGGGAGCCUCCACGUUCGUCUCCUAGAGCUCGUUCGAGAUGAAGGCUCCCAAGUGUGACCUACUUGUGAGGUUUCGCGUCGCCAGUACGCUGCACCGUGACAAGGACCCACCACCACGUUAAGGGCUCACACCACCAGCGACAUAAAUAGGUUUCAAACCGGUGAAUGGGUCAAGACCUGUGAGAGGAAGGAAAAGGAAGCAAGAUUGGACAGAGGAAGAAUGAAGCCCAUCCCAUAAACCGUCAGCCAACCCUGGAGUUGUGGAGUGAGUACGGAGGUCCCUAGAGUGCUGGCCUGCAAAUUGCUCCGUCCUUGUAUAUAGGCUGCCCCAAGAAGGGUGUCAGUUCAGUGGGUGGAUGGGUGGGUGGGUGGGGAUGAGAACAACUUUGACACAUCCUGAAGGAGGUGACAGAUGGAGGCCAUCUACUGACCACAGCAGUAGGCUGGGGAAGGACCUGAGUGUCACCACUUCAACUCUGCCACAGGAGAUAAGAGGACAUGUGACCUAGUACACAAGUGUCCUUAGUAAGAGAACAGACAGCUUCUACAUAUCCCUUAAUCUGUGCUCUGUUAAAUGCCUGAGACUAGCUAAUUGGUAAGCAAUAGAAGGUUAAUUUAGUUUAUGGUUCUGGAGGCUGAAAAGUCCAAAAGCUUGGUGCCAGCAAGUGCUACUGUGUGACUACAGCACAGGGCAUCAUGUGGGGACAGAGAAAGCAGGUACACUAGGGUCAUAUCUCUCUUAGAGCCUUCUGCAAUACGUUUUCACGAAUCGUUCUAAUACAUGUCUUUCAUGUAUCGUUCUAAUACAUGAAAUUUGGACAACACAUUCAUAGUAACAGAAUGAGGGAAUUCAGAGGCUAUGCACGCGCUCACAUUUGGGGUGGCACACACAAGGGAAGUUCUAGAAGUUCUGAUCUCUGUACUUUAAGACUAAAGUUGCUGACAAUGAGCUCAAGAGAAGGUUGCUGGAGGGUUGAGGAGAUUGGAAACUGAACUAGUUUUGUAGGUGACUGGAAGAUGACAGGAUUAAGCAGGUAACAUUGCAGGCCACUACAAGGACCCGUCGAGAUUAGUGGUUGUGAAAUCAGUAACUUCAGUCUGUUGUUGUUCUUAUAUCUGGUUACCUAGGAGUAGGUCCAAAGAUGGCAGGAAGGGAGGGAGAGAGGGAUGGAAAACACAUUUAACUCUGGUUGGAAUUUUCCUAAGCAAAUAGGGAGCUACAAGCAGAAGGGCAAAGGUUGACUGUGUUGAGGAUGUGCACAGACAGUGAGUAGUGGACUUUAGACUCGAGUAAGAAGGGAAGUGAGGACAGAGAACAACUUAAGAGCCCAGGGUUAGUGAGAUCUUUGCUUUCCAUCAUGACAUUUUUUAUCAGCACCUGCAGAAAGUUUACCUUCUGUCUUCCCUUUAAACUGUAGCUCCCGGAUACUGCAGGGUUUCCUUGCCUUAUUCAUCACUCUCCUCAGCACAAAGGCCUUGCUUGCCUUAGUAGGUAAUAUUUGCCUAAUGAAUGAAUGCAAGCCAAAAUAAACCCUUACCACGAGGAUCUAGAAUAUCUUUUCAAUGACGUGACUGAAAGCUAUCUAUGCUCUUCAAGGUACAACAAGCUAUUUCAGUUGUCUGACAGUCAAGGUUUAUUUUUGCUCUGUAGAACUGUGGUCUAUUCAGGCAGCUCUCUGGGGCUUCCAUUCAUGAAAUUUAUUCAUUGCUGCGGCCUCCUUUGAUUUUGAAAGGUCGGCCAUCUCAGCGUGAGCCCUUUAUGUUCAGAUGGUAGGUAAAGGAGGAGCAGUGCUGCUCUUCUGUAAGCCAGGUUAGUGGUCAGUCAGGAGACUACGCCCAGCCGACAGGUCUAGUCAGGGAAGCAUGUAGGUGGCGAGAGUUGCUGCUUCCUCCAUCAAAAAGAACACUAAUUGCAAACUCACAUGAUAGAACUGAGAUGACCAGAGGAUGCAGUUGAAUAUCUCUGUUACUUUUAUCUGGGCAGUCGUUAAGUUGUUCUUAGAUUUUCAGUUUGCCUCUGAUAAGUCUCAAUAUCCAUUCCGUACCCAUAUCCGCACUUCUCAUGCACUUAUCAAACUUCUGCACACACACAUCUAUCCUACACUGCACGCUUUGUAGGCAGAGACCACAUCCAUACUUCUAUCCUCCCAGUGCUGGCUUGGGGACAUGGUAUUUUCAGAAUAUUUAAUUACACUGUACCCCAUUUCAGUUCUUAGACAGUGGCACAAGCCUAUUGUCUGGAUGCUAUUUAAAGAUUGUUCAGCAAAAUUAACUCAGUGGGUUAACAUGGUUUGAACAAGCCGAUGACCAGCUCUUUUUUUAAACCUGGGCAGAAAUGUAAAUAUAGUGACACAUUUGUUUCUUCUAAAAACAAGAUAGCCUACUCUAUUUUGGUAGAAAGAGUUAGCCAAAAUAGACAUCUUUGUAAUUCAAGAUUAUAAGGGUUUUAUACUGUCUGAAUGCAGUAGGAUCCCACUGGUUGGCGAUAAGUGUGGUGGCUCCAGACAAUGGCCAGGGAAGACUACUCAAGGUAAGCAUUAGAUGAUAGAAGGAGAUGGUGGUAAGACCCAGAAUGCUGGAAAAUAGCGUACGAGCGCUACUCAACUUUUGCUGCAGGAACCAGUUUAUCGUUUAUAACGCCUGUCAUUAGCAUAUCUGGUUUGUUUUGACACAGGGUCUCACUGUGUAUCCCAGACUUGCCUAGAACUUGAAAUCCCCAAGCCUCUGCCUCCCAACCACUGGAAAUACAGGUAUGUGCUACCAUGCUGGGGUUCAUUUAACUAACAUAUUAGCUGUUUCCUGCGUGUGACUGUUGAAUCAUAUAAAAGGCAAACCCCAUGCCUCUGGGUAGGUUGUUAGCCUCUGGGCAUACAUUCAACUAUGUAGGUGAGUUGAAUCAGGUGACAAGACCCAUCUUAACUGUUGAGUCAGGUGACAAGACCCAUCUUAACUGUUGGCAGCAGCAGCCCAUGGGCUGGGCUCUUCGACUGAAUAUAAUCAAGAAAGUGGGUUGAGCAUUAGACUCCAUCAUUCUCUAUUUCUGAGUUGUGGAUACAGUGAUGCCUCAGGUUGCUGUGCCCAUGACUUCCCUACCCUGACAAAUUGUACCUUGGACUGUGAACCAAAAUAAAGUUUGUUUUCCUUAA